GCAGUGGGGAAUUUUGGACAAUGGGCGCAAGCCUGAUCCAGCCAUGCCGCGUGCAGGAUGAAGGCCUUCGGGUUGUAAACUGCUUUUGUACGGAACGAAAAGAUCUUUUCUAAUACAGAAGGUCCAUGACGGUACCGUAAGAAUAAGCACCGGCUAACUACGUGCCAGCAGCCGCGGUAAUACGUAGGGUGCAAGCGUUAAUCGGAAUUACUGGGCGUAAAGCGUGCGCAGGCGGUAAUGUAAGACAGAUGUGAAAUCCCCGGGCUCAACCUGGGAACUGCAUUUGUGACUGCAUUGCUGGAGUGCGGCAGAGGGGGAUGGAAUUCCGCGUGUAGCAGUGAAAUGCGUAGAUAUGCGGAGGAACACCGAUGGCGAAGGCAAUCCCCUGGGCCUGCACUGACGCUCAUGCACGAAAGCGUGGGGAGCAAACAGGAUUAGA
rnacentral:rRNA from 1 species